rnacentral:misc_RNA from 1 species
GAUGAAGAACGCAGCGAAAUGCGAUAAGUAAUGUGAAUUGCAGAAUUCAGUGAAUCAUCGAAUCUUUGAACGCACAUUGCGCCCGCCAGCACUCUGGCGGGCAUGCCUGUUCGAGCGUCAUUUCAACCAUCAAGCCCCCAGGGGCUUGUGCUGGGGCCCUGCGGCUGCCCGCAGGCCCUGAAAACCAGUGGCGGGCUCGCUAGUCACACCGAGCGCAGUAGCAUAUCUCGCUCAGGGCGUGCGGCGGGCUCCUGCCGUGAAACCCCCCACUGUAACCCCAAAGGUUGACCUCGGAUCAGGUAGGAAUACCCGCUGAACUUAAGCAUAUCAAUAAGCGGAGGA